GACUGCUCUUUAAAAAUAGAAACCCCAAACACAUUUUAGGGUUAGAACUUGAAGAGAAGAGAGAGAAUGGAGCUUUUCAAGAGCAAGGAGCCUUAUGACUCAUCUUAGAAACCCCAAACCUCUUGUUUCUAACUCUUCUUCUUCCUCUCUAACUUGUUUUGGGUAUGUUAGAUCUAUUUUCAAAAUAUGAGAAACCAUGGAAACUCAUCCGUUAGAGUUAUGAUCCUAAGGUUUGAGGAAAUCGCGGAGGAGACUUUUAAAGUUAUUCGGAACCGAUCCCCAACACUCACCAAGGUAAAUGAAUGAUUUUGAGGAUGAAGCUCAAAUAGGAAGUCUUUGUGUCUAUUUACUUGAGUGUCUUUAUU